UACGAAGGGGGCUAGCGUUGCUCGGAAUCACUGGGCGUAAAGGGCGCGUAGGCGGACUCUUAAGUCGGGGGUGAAAGCCCGGGGCUCAACCCCGGAGGGUCAGCUGAUACUGGCAGACUAGAGUACAGAAGAGGUAACUGGAAUUCCCGGUGUAGCGGUGAAAUGCGUAGAUAUCAAGAGGAACACCUGAGGUGAAGACGGGUUGCUGGGCUGACACUGACGCUGAGGCGCGAAAGCCAGGGGAGCAAACGGG
rnacentral:rRNA from 1 species